rfam:Otolemur garnettii contig109754, whole genome shotgun sequence.
GCCAGACAUGGUGGCACACACCUGUAGUCCCAGCUACUCAGGAGGCUGAGACAGGAGGAUCGCUUGAGUCCAGGAGUUCUGGGCUGUAGUGCUUUAUGCUGAUCGAGUGUCUUGCUUUAUGCUGAUCGGGUGUCUGCACUAAGUUCAGUAUCAAUAUGGUGACUUCUCAGGAGCAGGGGGCCACCAGGUUGCCCAAGGAGAGGUGAACCAGCCCAGGUCAGAAAUGGAGCAGGUCAAAAACUCCCAUGCUGAUCAGUAGUGGGAUCGUGCCUGUGAAUAGCCACUGCACUCCACCCUGGGCAACACAGCGAGACCCCAUCUGUU